GGCGGCGUGCCUAACACAUGCAAGUCGUACGAGAAAGUCGGCUUCGGCCGAUAAGUAAAGUGGCGCACGGGUGAGUAACGCGUGGAUAAUCUGCCCUACAGCCAGGAAUAACCUACCGAAAGGUGGGCUAAUACCUGAUAAUACUAUUUUCACCCCGGUGGGAUAGUCAAAGAUAGCCUCUAUUUAUAAGCUUUCACUGAAGGAUGAGUCCGCGUACCAUUAGCUAGUUGGUAGGGUAAUGGCCUACCAAGGCUGUGAUGGUUAGCUGGUCUGAGAGGAUGAUCAGCCACACUGGAACUGAGACACGGUCCAGACUCCUACGGGAGGCAGCAGUGAGGAAUCUUGCGCAAUGGGGGAAACCCUGACGCAGCAACGCCGCGUGAGUGAGGAAGGUCUUCGGAUCGUAAAGCUCUGUCAGUUGGAAAGAAAUGUCUGAGAGUCAAUCCCUUUCAGGCUUGACGGUACCAACAGAGGAAGCACCGGCUAACUCCGUG
rnacentral:rRNA from 1 species